CAUGCAAGUCGUGCGAGAAAGGGCUUCGGCCCCGGUAAAGCGGCGCACGGGUGAGUAACACGUAGGUAAUCUUCCCUCGAGUGGUGGAUAACCCUCCGAAAGGAGGACUAAUACAGCAUGAGACCACGACCUCGCUGAGGUUGCGGCAAAAGUAGGCCUCUACAUGUAAGCUUACGCUUGAGGAUGAGCCUGCGGCCCAUCAGCUAGUUGGUAGGGUAAUGGCCUACCAAGGCAGAGACGGGUAGCUGGUCUGAGAGGAUGAACAGCCACACUGGAACUGAGACACGGUCCAGACUCCUACGGGAGGCAGCAGUGGGGAAUCUUGCGCAAUGGGCGAAAGCCUGACGCAGCGACGCCGCGUGAGCGAUGAAGGCCUUCGGGUUGUAAAGCUCUGUGGGGAGGGAAGAAUAAGGGCAAGCUAAUACCUUGUCUGAUGACGGUACCUCCUUAGCAAGCACCGGCUAACUCUGUGCCAGCAGCCGCGGUAAGACAGAGGGUGCGAACGUUGUUCGGAAUUACUGGGGCGUAAAGCGCGUGUAGGCGGCCAUGUAAGUCGGGCGUGAAAUCCCACGGCUCACCCGUGGAAAUGCACCCGAAACUGCNUGGCUAGAGUCNCUGUAGAGGAAAGGGGAAAUGCUUGGUGUAGAGGUGANAUUANUUGNUNUNUANCGGAA
rnacentral:rRNA from 1 species